GACCAGACUCCUACGGGAGGCAGCAGUGGGGAAUAUUGGGCAAUGGGCGCAAGCCUGACCCAGCAACGCCGCGCGAAGGAAGAAGGCUUUCGGGUUGUAAACUUCUUUUCUGAGGGACGAAGCAGGUGACGGUACCUUAGGAAUAAGCCACGGCUAACUACGUGCCAGCAGCCGCGGUAAUACGUAGGUGGCAAGCGUUAUCCGGAUUUACUGGGUGUAAAGGGCGUGUAGGCGGGAAAGCAAGUCAGAUGUGAAAUCCGGGGGCUCAACCCCCGAACUGCAUUUGAAACUGUUGGUCUUGAGUAUCGGAGAGGCAGGCGGAAUUCCUAGUGUAGCGGUGAAAUGCGUAGAUAUUAGGAGGAACACCAGUGGCGAAGGCGACUAUCUGGCACAUAACUGACGCUGAGGAGCGAAAGCGUGGGUAGCAAACAGGAUUAGAUACCCGGGUAUUA
rnacentral:rRNA from 1 species